rnacentral:rRNA from 1 species
GAUGAACGCUGGCGGCGUGCCUAAUACAUGCAAGUCGAGCGAACAGACGGUGAGCUUGCUCCUCUGACGUUAGCGGCUGACGGGUGAGUAACACGUGGAUAACCUACUUAUAAUACUGGGAUAACUUCGUGAAACCGGUGCUGAUACCGGCUCAUAUAUUGAACCGCAGGGUUCAAUAGUGAAAGGCGGUUUUCCUGUUUCUUUUAGCUGGAUCCGCGCCGCAUUAGCUAGUUGGUAAGGUAACGGCUUACCAAGGCAACGAUGCGUAGCCGACCUGGGAGGGUGAUCGGCCACACUGGAACUGAGACACGGUCCAGACUCCUACGGGAGGCAGCAGUAGGGAAUAUUGGGCAAUGGGCGAAAGCCUGACGGAGCAACACCGCGUGGGUGAUGAAGGUCUUCGGAUCGUAAAACCCUGUUAUUGGGGAAGAACAGCUGUAUAAGAAAAUAUGCCCGUCUUGACGGUACCCAAAGAGAAAGCACCGGCUAACUACGUG